AAUUCGACGGUUGUCUUGUUUCUCUCCGCCCCAUGCCCUCACGGGUGGUGGGGUGGACGUCAGGCAAGCCUCGUGGUCCUGGCAUGCCGCCCCUAGUUGCGUGGCUGCCUUGGUCCCAUGAGGUUCUUUGCCCGUGCUUUCGGAUGCAGAAUGUUAUGUGCUUUGGGUGGGUGCUCUCUCGGAGGCCUCCAUCUAAUCAAGCAAUGCAUUUUGUCGGUGCCAAGAACGACCGAUGCGCCCGUCUUUGGGCCCGCAGCCUCACGGCUGGAUGGGACUCAUG
rnacentral:misc_RNA from 1 species